GGAAUGACCUCCAGGUAGAAUAUACACCUUACAGGUGAAUGACCUCCAGGUAGAAUAUAAACCUUACAGGGGAAUGACCUCCAGGUAGAAUAUACACCUUACAGGUGAAUGACCUCCAGGUAGAAUAUAAACCUUACAGGGGAAUGACCUCCAGGUAGAAUAUACACCUUACAGGUGAAUGAUCUCCAGGUAGAAUAUACACCUAACAGGUGAAUGACCUCCAGGAACAGGGGUAGAAUAUACACCUUACAGGUGGAUGACCUCCAGGAACAGGGGUAGAAUAUACACCUUACAGGUGGCUGACCUCCAGGUAGAAUAUACACCUUACAGGUGAAUGACUUCCAGGUAGAAUAUAAACCUUACAGGGGAAUGACCUCCAGGUAGAAUAUACACCUUACAGGUGAAUGACCUCCAGGAAGAAUAUACACCUUACAGGUGAAUGAUCUCCAGGUAGAAUAUAAACCUUACAGGUGGCUGACCUCCAGGAACAGGGGUAGAAUAUACACCUUACAGGUGGCUGAACUCCAGGAACAGGGGUAGAAUAUACACCUUACAGGUGAAUGAUCUCCAGGUAGAAUAUACACCUUACAGGUGGAUGUCCUCCAGGAACAGGGGUAGAAUAUACACCUUACAGGUGAAUGACCUCCAGGAACAGGGGUUGCCUACCCCUGAAGGAGAAUAUACACAUCACAGGGUAGAAUAUCAUAACGCAAUGUUUAGGAUUUGUGACACGUGAACUAGUAAAAUCGGGCGACCUCUACCUCUUAACAAUGUUAUGGUAUAACAACGGGUUUUUUUAAAGACCCAUUGCACUACAGCAUAUAAGAAAAAAGAGCAUUGCUCAGCAGUUUCAACAAUAAUUUAAAGCCUAUAGCAUUAGAGGUCAUCCAUCUCAACUCUACUGGAGAUCACCCACCUCAAUAAUACUGGAGGUCAUCCAUCUCAACUAUACCGGAGGUCAUCCACCUCAAUAAUACUGGAGGUCAACAAUACUGGAGGUCAUCCAUCUCAACUAUACUGGAGAUCAUCCAUCUCAACUAUACUGGAGGUCAACUAUACUGGAGAUCAUCCAUCUCAACUAUACUGGAGGUCAUCGAUCUCAACUACACUGGAGGUCAACUAUACUGGAGGUCAUCCACCUCAACUAUACUGGAGAUCAUCCAUCUCAACUAUACUGGAGAUCAUCCAUCUCAACUAUACUGGAGGUCAACUAUACUGGAGGUCAUCCACCUCAACUAUACUGGAGGUCAACAAUACUGGAGAUCACCUAUACUGGAGAUCAUCCACCUCAACUAUACUGGAGAUCAUCCACCUCAACUAUACUGGAGGUCAUCCGCCUCAACUAUACUGGAGGUCAUCCAUCUCAACUAUACUGGAGGUCAACUAUACUGGAGGUCAUCCACCUCAACUAUACUGGAGGUCAACUAUACUGGAGGUCAUCCACCUCAACUAUACUGGAGGUCAUCCAUCUCAACUAUACUGGAGGUCAUCCACCUCAAUUAAACUGUAGAUCAACUAUACUGGAGGUCACCUAUACUGGAGGUCAUCCACCUCAACUAUACUGGAGGUCAUCCACCUCAACUAUACUGGAGGUCAUCCAUCUCAACUAUAUUGGAGGUCAACUAUACUGGAGGUCAUCCAUCUCAAGUAUACUGGAGGUCAUCCAUCUCAACUAUACUGGAGGUCAUCCACGUCAAUUAUACUGGAGAUCAACUAUACUGGAGGUCAUCCACCUCAACUAUACUGGAGGUCAACAAUACUGGAGAUCACCUAUACUGGAGAUCAUCCACCUCAACUAUACUGGAGGUCAUCCACCUCAACUAUACUGGAGGUCAACUAUACUGGAGGUCAUCCACCUCAACUAUACUGGAGAUCAUCCAUCUCAACUAUACUGGAGGUCAACUAUGCUGGAGGUCAUCCACCUCAACUAUACUGGAGAUCAUCUAUCUCAACUAUACUGGAGGUCAACUAUACUGGAGGUCAUCCAUCUCAACUAUACUGGAGGUCAUCCAUCUCAACUAUACUGGAGGUCAACUAUACUGGAGAUCACCUAUACUGGAGAUCAUCCACCUUAACUAUACUGGAGGUCAUCCAUCUCAACUAUACUGGAGGUCAUCUGCCUCAACUAUACUGGAGGUCAUCCAUCUCAACUAUACUGGAGGUCAU
rnacentral:lncRNA from 1 species